CUUUUUUUUCAAAUUUCGUGCAGUUUUAUACCAAAAAUACCUAAAUAUUCUACAUAUUUUGAAAGUUACACUCAUGCCUAGGAACUAUUUUGUGUUAAAUAUGUACUACUUUUUGGUAUGUGCUUUCUGGGUGGGCCGGAAUUAGUGGUGUUACACCUAUAAAGCGCAGAAUAGGUAUGAGAAUGGAAAACUAGAUAAGGAAUGUCUGUAAGAAUGCAAACGAGAAAAAGUCCCAAAACUUUAGAUAACUUCCUCAAGCAAAAAGUUAAAAGUAAUUUCACUUACCGAACACUAAUCAAUGAAAAUAGAUAAAAUCACUUUGGUUCUAUCAUUUCAAAACGACCAUGUUCAUCUAGU
rnacentral:lncRNA from 1 species